GAUGAACGCUGGCGGCGUGCCUAAUACAUGCAAGUCGAGCGAACGGACGAGAAGCUUGCUUUUCUGAUGUUAGCGGCGGACGGGUGAGUAACACGUGGAUAACCUACCUAUAAGACUGGGAUAACUUCGGGAAACCGGAGCUAAUACCGGAUAAUAUUUUGAACCGCAUGGUUCAAAAGUGAAAGACGGUCUUGCUGUCACUUAUAGAUGGAUCCGCGCUGCAUUAGCUGGUUGGUAAGGUAACGGCUUACCAAGGCAACGAUGCAUAGCCGACCUGAGAGGGUGAUAGGCCACACUGGAGCUGAGACACGGUCCAGACUCCUACGGGAGGCGGCAGUAUGGAAUCGUCCGCAAUGGGCGAAAGCCUGACGGAGCAACGCCGCGUGAGUGAUGAAGGUCUUCGGAUCGUAAAACUCUGUUAUUAGGGAAGAACAUAUGUGUAAGUAACUGUGCACAUCGUGACGGUACCUAAUCAGAAAGCCACGGCUAACUACGUG
rnacentral:rRNA from 1 species